UACGGAGGAUGCGAGCGUUAUCCGGAUUUACUGGGUGUAAAGGGAGCGUAGACGGCGCGGCAAGUCUGAAGUGAAAGGCAGGGGCUUAACCCCUGAACUGCUUUGGAAACUGCCAUGCUAGAGUGCUGGAGAGGUAAGUGGAAUUCCUAGUGUAGCGGUGAAAUGCGUAGAUAUUAGGAGGAACACCAGUGGCGAAGGCGGCUUGCUGGACGAUGACUGACGUUGAGGCUCGAAAGCGUGGGGAGCAAACAGG
rnacentral:rRNA from 1 species